rnacentral:rRNA from 1 species
UACACACCGCCCGUCAAGCCAUGGGAGUUGGUGUCGACCUGAAAAGAUUCAGCUAACCGCAAGGAGGCAAAUUUUAAUGGCAAUACCGAAAAAAUGACUGGGGUU